GACUCUGAUGCUGGGAGGUAUUGGGAGCAGGAGGAGAAGGGGACGACAGAGGAUGAGAUGGCUGGAUGGCAUCACCAACUCAAUGGACAUGAGUUUGGUGAACUCCGGGAGUUGGUGAUGGACAGGGAGGCCUGGCAUGCUGCAAUUCAUGGGGUCGCAAAGAGUCAGACAUGACUGAGCGACUGAACUGAACUGAACAGUGAAAGAGUAGUUGUGACAGAUGUAAGUUCCUUGCAGGCAGGAGCUGAAAGCUCAGCGAAGUCUGGCUGAUUGAUUUGAAGAAAACAGCUUCAUUUGCCUCUUUAGCCAAAGGUGGUGGUAGGGACCGAACAACUACUUCAUGUUCAAUUGAGGAUGGCUUUGGCAGCAGGAGUCCGGGGUGACUCCCAGUCCUGCUCUCCCGGAUUCAGGAACCUUCGCCAGAUGGCGUGAGUCCUCCCAGUGGAGGAUCCCAAUGGCGUGAGUCGUCCCAGUGGCUCACAGAGGAUCCUGCAGACGCACCUCUGAGAACAAAGCUGUCUCCCCAGCACGCUGAUCACUGUGCCAGGACAGAGAGGAACGCUGCUUCCAGGAAGACGCAAUGGCUAAUGGUUCGGCUUUUCCUUCUCUGCCCUUUUGCUCUGCACACAUACACAGGUGACACGGACAGCACUUAGAAAAGGUGCUCAGGGGGACGUGUGCAUUUCAAGCCUCUCCUGCUGACUGCAUCCAUCACAGUGUUUCUCUACGAGCUUUGAGCCAAGGUGGAGAUUCUAAUGGAGAAUGAUGACGUGGAAACUGGACUUACUUGCAGACAGCCAUGACCUCACCCUCUUCAGCUCUUCUGGAAUUUCGGAAUGAGGUGAUUGUCUCAAUGGCAGGGUUUUACUCGGAGGAAAUCCUGCCUGCUCUCCCGACUGGCUCCAC
rnacentral:lncRNA from 1 species